UACAGGGGGGGCAAGCGUUGUUCGGAAUUACUGGGCGUAAAGGGUCUGUAGGUGGCCAACUAAGUCAGACGUGAAAUCCCUCAGCUUAACUGGGGAACUGCGUCUGAUACUGGAUGGCUUGAGUGUGGGAGAGGAAUGCGGAAUUCCAGGUGUAGCGGUGAAAUGCGUAGAUAUCAGGAGGAACACCGAUGGCGAAGGCAGGUCUCUGGGCUGACACUGACGCUCAUGCACGAAAGCGUGGGGAGCAAACAGG
rnacentral:rRNA from 1 species